rnacentral:rRNA from 1 species
AGAGUUUGAUCCUGGCUCAGAUUGAACGCUGGCGGCAUGCCUUACACAUGCAAGUCGAACGGCAGCACGGGAGCAAUCCUGGUGGCGAGUGGCGAACGGGUGAGUAAUAUAUCGGAACGUGCCCAGUCGUGGGGGAUAACGCAGCGAAAGCUGUGCUAAUACCGCAUACGAUCUCUGGAUGAAAGCGGGGGACUCGCAAGAGCCUCGCGCGAUUGGAGCGGCCGAUAUCAGAUUAGCUAGUUGGUGGGGUAAAAGCUCACCAAGGCGACGAUGGUUAGCUGGUCUGAGAGGAUGAUCAGCCACACUGGAACUGAGACACGGUCCAGACUCCUACGGGAGGCAGCAGUGGGGAAUUUUGCGCAAUGGGGGAAACCCUGACGCAGCAACGCCGCGUGAGUGAUGAAGGCCCUUGGGUCGUAAAGCUCUGACAGAGGGAAAGAAAUGUGGGUGGCUAAUAUCCAUACCACUUGACGGUACCCUCAAAGGAAGCACCGGCUAACUCCGUGCCAGCAGCCGCGGUAAUACGGGGGGUGCAAGCGUUGUUCGGAUUUAUUGGGCGUAAAGCGCGUGUAGGCGGUUUUAUAAGUCUGAUGUGAAAGCCCUGGGCUCAACCUGGGAAGUGCAUUGGAUACUGUAGGACUUGAAUACGGGAGAGGGCAGUGGAAUUCCUGGUGUAGGAGUGAAAUCCGUAGAUAUCAGGAGGAACACCGGUGGCGAAGGCGGCUGCCUGGACCGAUAUUGACGCUGAGACGCGAAAGCGUGGGUAGCAAACAGGAUUAGAUACCCUGGUAGUCC